UACGUAGGGCGCAAGCGUUGUCCGGAAUUAUCGGCGUAAAGAGCUCGUAGGCGGUUUGUCGCGUCUGCCGUGAAAACCCGAGGCUUAACCUCGUGGCUUGCGGUGGAUACGGGCAAACUAGAGGUAGGUAGGGGAGAAUGGAAUUCCCGGUGUAGCGGCGAAAUGCGCAGAUAUCGGGAGGAACACCGGUGGCGAAGGCGGUUCUCUGGGCCUUACCUGACGCUGAGGAGCGAAAGCGUGGGGAGCGAACAGG
rnacentral:rRNA from 1 species